AAUAAGUGCAGUUUUACACUAUUUACGUCCAACGUUUGACCAUUCGUUUUAUUUGAAAUUUUUUUAUGAUUAGUAUUUUUAUUGUUAUUAGAUGAUAAAACAUGAAUAGUAUUUUUUUGUGUGACUUAUUAUUUUUAUUAUUUUUAUAAAUUUUUUAUAUAAGACGGACGGUCAAAUAUUAGACACGGAUAUCUACUGCUGCACUUAUU
rfam:Oryza nivara chromosome 9, whole genome shotgun sequence.